rnacentral:ncRNA from 1 species
UCCGAGGGGUGUCCCGUCAAGGGGCUGAGAUACCGCUGGCCUUCAUGGCAGCGCGGUGACCCUGCAACCGGCCCCGUGGGGGCCGGGAGAACCUGAUCCGGGUCAUGCCGGCGUAGGGACGGGAAG